rnacentral:rRNA from 1 species
UACGGAGGGUGCAAGCGUUAUCCGGAUUCACUGGGUUUAAAGGGUGCGUAGGUGGGCUAGUAAGUCCGUGGUGAAAUCUCUGAGCUUAACUCGGAAACUGCCGUGGAUACUAUUAGUCUUGAAUCUCGUGGAGGUAAGCGGAAUAUGUCAUGUAGCGGUGAAAUGCUUAGAUAUGACAUAGAACACCAAUUGCGAAGGCAGCUCACUACACGAGCAUUGACUCUGAGGCACGAAAGCGUGGGGAUCAAACAGG